GCCGAGCUAUUAACGCCAGCUUGUUACUCAAGUGAGGGCAUAAAAUUGUUGGAACACGGCUUAAGGUAAAGCUGCUAUGGGUUAUGUCUAUUGCAUCUGCAAUAGGGUGGUUUAGACUCUUAUGACGUCUUUAAUCUAAGAGAGCUUCGGCACUCGUACGUGGAUAAUAAGGAUAGAAAACUACCCUUGAACCAUCAAUUUU
rnacentral:SRP_RNA from 1 species